rnacentral:rRNA from 1 species
UACGUAGGAGGCAAGCGUUGUCCGGAAUUACUGGGCGUAAAGCGCGUGUAGGUGGUGGGACAAGUCUGCUGUGAAAGCGCCUGGCUUAACCGGGCGAGGUCGGCGGAAACUGUCCGACUAGAGGACGGUAGAGGGGGGUGGAAUUCCCGGUGUAGUGGUGAAAUGCGCAGAUAUCAGGAGGAACACCGAUGGCGAAGGCAGGUCUCUGGGCAUUAACUGACGCUGAGGAGCGAAAGCAUGGGGAGCGAACAGG